rnacentral:rRNA from 1 species
UACGUAGGGUGCAAGCGUUGUCCGGAAUUAUUGGGCGUAAAGGGCGCGCAGGCGGCUGUGGAAGUCAGAUGUGAAAGCCCCGGGCCUCAACCUGGGAACCGCAUUUGGGACUGCAUGGCUAGAGUUCGGGAGAGGUGGGUGGAAUUCCCAGUGUAGAGGUGAAAUUCGUAGAUAUUGGGAAGAACACCGGUGGCGAAGGCGGCUCACUGGACCGAUACUGACGCUGAGGCGCGAAAGCGUGGGGAGCAAACAGG